UACGUAGGGGGCAAGCGUUGUCCGGAUUUAUUGGGCGUAAAGAGCGUGUAGGCGGCCAAGCAGGUCCGUUGUGAAAACUGGAGGCUUAACCUCCAGACGUCGACGGAAACCGCGUGGCUAGAGUCCGGAAGAGGAGAGUGGAAUUCCUGGUGUAGCGGUGAAAUGCGCAGAUAUCAGGAAGAACACCAAUGGCGAAAGCAGCUCUCUGGGACGGUAACUGACGCUGAGACGCGAAAGCGUGGGGAGCAAACAGG
rnacentral:rRNA from 1 species